rnacentral:rRNA from 1 species
CUAGCCCUAAACGAUGUAUGCUUGGUGUCUGGAGUAUUAAUUCUCUGGGUGCCGUCGCUAACGCUUUUAGCAUACCGCCUGGGGAGUACGCACGCAAGUGUGAAACUCAAAGGAAUUGACGGGGACCCGCACAAGCGGUGGAGCAUGUGGUUUAAUUCGACGCAACGCGAAGAACCUUACCUGGACUAGAAUGCGAGGAAAUAUCAUGUAAUGUGAUAGGCUGGGCAACCAGCUCCGAAGCAAGGUGC